rnacentral:lncRNA from 1 species
GGAAAAGCCCAGCCGUGCGCAAUUCCCUUUUCCUUUUCCAUCCCCUCCUCCUCCGCUGCAGCUGCCCUGCUGCUUCCCCUCCCCCUCCUCGCCGAGGCGCCUCACGAGCGCUGUGCCCGCACGAGCGCCGCGAGGGAGGUGGCUAGUACGACGAGGCGUCGCGCCAGCACUAGCACCGCGAGGUCAAAGGGCAGCAACAGGCAAUACGGCGAGGCGCAGCAACCGCACGGGCUCCGCGAGUUCCAGGGCCGGAAGCGGCCAAUACGGCGAGGCGGUGCCUGUCUGGCGGCCGUACGGCCUCCGCCGCGUGCGCGACCUUGCUCCUGCGCCUCCUACCCGGGCUGGACCUCCCCCCGUGCGUCGUCCCCACCCGCAUCACCAAGCUUCCCAACGGCGUCCGCGACUCCGCGUCGCCUCCGAGGAUGUCCAGGUACUACCCACCUCCCCCUCCCCUCUUCCUUCCGAUGAGUCCAUGGCUGACAGCGGCACCGUCUCCGAGCUCACGAACACCUGGAUUUGACAGGGAGCAGCACAGGGAUGGCGAAUUNNN